AGCUUUUAUACAAAAUCAGAUUCUGAAUUUCAUAAAGAUUUUCAAUAGAGGCUUUCAAAGUCAUAAUUUGAGAUAUGUAUCUUCCACAUUGUAGCUCAUCUUAAAUCAUUACGAUUGAAAACACAUAUUUCAAACAUAUAAGAGCAUAUUCAGAAUAUUUGUAUUUAUGUUGAGUUUUGGUAUAAAUUAGAACAUUAUAUACCAAGGUUAGGCAAGUUGAAAGAUAA
rnacentral:lncRNA from 1 species